UGGGGAAUUUUGCGCAAUGGGCGAAAGCCUGACGCAGCAACGCCGCGUGAGGGAUGAAGGCCUUCGGGUUGUAAACCUCUUUUAACCGGGAAGAAACCUCUGUCCGCAAAUAGCGGGCGGAAUUGACGGUACCGGUUGAAUAAGCCACGGCUAACUCUGUGCCAGCAGCCGCGGUAAGACAGAGGUGGCAAGCGUUGUUCGGAUUUACUGGGCGUAAAGAGCGCGUAGGCGGUCCUUUAAGUCGGUGGUGAAAUCCCGGGGCUUAACCCCGGAACUGCCCCCGAUACUGUUGGACUUGAGUGCGGGAGAGGGUAGUGGAAUUCCCAGUGUAGAGGUGAAAUUCGUAGAUAUUGGGAAGAACACCAGUGGCGAAGGCAGCUACCUGGACCGCAACUGACGCUGUGGCGCGAAAGCGUGGGGAGCAAACAGG
rnacentral:rRNA from 1 species